rnacentral:misc_RNA from 1 species
GUUUUUAUUUUAUUUAUUUAUUUAAAAAAAAAAUCGUUUGGCAGCUGAUCUUAUGUGUUUUGGUUUUUGAAUGAAUAAUGGAUCCAUGGUUUUUUUAGGCUUUUUGUGUUUGUGUUUGUGUUUGUUUUUCUAUGUUCUGCAUGCUAUGUCUGUCAGUAUGAUAAGAAAGAAUAGAGUAUCAUACUUGGCAAACUGUUUGCGCCCUUCU